rnacentral:rRNA from 1 species
GUUGGCGGGGUAACGGCCCACCAAGGCGACGAUGCGUAGGGGUUCUGAGAGGAAGGUCCCCCACACUGGUACUGAGACACGGACCAGACUCCUACGGGAGGCAGCAGUGAGGAAUAUUGGUCAAUGGCCGCAGGGCUGAACCAGCCAAGUCGCGUGAGGGAUGACGGUCCUAUGGAUUGUAAACCUCUUUUGUCAGGGAGCAAAGGGCGCCACGUGUGGCGCUUUGCGAGUACCUGAAGAAAAAGCAUCGGCUAACUCCGUGCCAGCAGCCGCGGUAAUACGGAGGAUGCGAGCGUUAUCCGGAUUUAUUGGGUUUAAAGGGUGCGCAGGCGGAAUGUCAAGUCAGCGGUAAAAUUUCGGGGCUCAACCCCGUCGUGCCGUUGAAACUGGCGUUCUUGAGUGAGCGAGAAGUAUGCGGAAUGCGUGGUGUAGCGGUGAAGUGCAUAGAUAUCACGCAGAACUCCGAUUGCGAAGGCAGCAUACCGGCGCUCAACUGACGCUCAUGCACGAAAGCGUGGGUAUCGAACAGGAUUAGAUACCCUGGUAGUCCACGCAGUAAACGAAGAAUACUAACUGUCCGGGCAGAAUGAUGUCUGG